rnacentral:rRNA from 1 species
AUACGGAGGAUGCAAGCGUUAUCCGGAUUUAUUGGGUUUAAAGGGUGCGUAGGCGGUUUGCUAAGCGGGAGGUGAAAUGCCGGCGCUCAACGUCGGAAGUGCCUCCCGAACUGGUGGACUGGAAUGACUCUGCCGUGGGAGGAAUGUGUAGUGUAGCGGUGAAAUGCUUAGAGAUUACACAGAACACCGAUUGCGAAGGCAUCUCACGAAGGGUUGAUUGACGCUGAGGCACGAAAGCGUGGGGAUCAAACAGGAUUAGAUACCCUGGUAGUCUACGCAGUAAACGAUGAUGGCUAACCGCUGGUUUAUUCGGAUCAGUGGCCAAGCGAAAGCGAUAAGCCAUCCACCUGGGGAGUACGACCGCAAGGUUGAAACUCAAAUGAAUUGACGGG